GUAGAUUCAUUUCUAUGGUACGUGUAUGUUACUAUGUUUCAAAAAUGUUCCUUGGAUCAAUAAUUGUUAUCCUAAUGCCUAUAAUGAUUUCCUCAAGCCACCACGAGCAUAUACUCCUUGCUACCUGAAACGUAUUUUUCUUAACAUUGUCAUUGUUCUCACAUCAAAUGGCUGCUUCACGUAAGUCUCCCCAGAAAACAUGUUCUGAGAUCUGUAGAAAACCCUAUGAUAAUGACUAUAUUGAGCUUUAAGUGAUCUUGGCAGCCUUAUCU
rnacentral:misc_RNA from 1 species